AUUGAACGCUGGCGGCAUGCCUUACACAUGCAAGUCGAACGGCAGCACGGGUGCUUGCACCUGGUGGCGAGUGGCGAACGGGUGAGUAAUACAUCGGAACAUGUCCUGUAGUGGGGGAUAGCCCGGCGAAAGCCGGAUUAAUACCGCAUACGAUCUACGGAUGAAAGCGGGGGACCUUCGGGCCUCGCGCUAUAGGGUUGGCCGAUGGCUGAUUAGCUAGUUGGUGGGGUAAAGGCCUACCAAGGCGACGAUCAGUAGCUGGUCUGAGAGGACGACCAGCCACACUGGGACUGAGACACGGCCCAGACUCCUACGGGAGGCAGCAGUGGGGAAUUUUGGACAAAGGGCGAAAGCCUGAUCCAGCAAUGCCGCGUGUGUGAAGAAGGCCUUCGGGUUGUAAAGCACUUUUGUCCGGAAAGAAAUCCUUGGCCCUAAUACGGCCGGGGGAUGACGGUACCGGAAGAAUAAGCACCGGCUAACUACGUG
rnacentral:rRNA from 1 species